AUCCAGCUGACGAGUCACAAAUAAGACGAAACGCGCGUCCUGGAU
rnacentral:hammerhead_ribozyme from 1 species